rnacentral:rRNA from 1 species
GACGAACGCUGGCGGCGUGCUUAACACAUGCAAGUCGAACGGAAAGGCCCUGCUUUUGUGGGGUGCUCGAGUGGCGAACGGGUGAGUAACACGUGAGUAACCUGCCCUUGACUUUGGGAUAACUUCAGGAAACUGGGGCUAAUACCGGAUAGGAGCUCCUGCUGCAUGGUGGGGGUUGGAAAGUUUCGGCGGUUGGGGAUGGACUUGCGGCUUAUCAGCAUGUUGGUGGGGUAGUGGCUUACCAAGGCUUUGACGGGUAGCCGGCCUGAGAGGGUGACCGGCCACAUUGGGACUGAGAUACGGCCCAGAGUGCUACGGGAGGCAGGAGUGGGGAAUAUUGCAAAAUGGGCGGAAGCCGGAUGCAGCAACGCCGGGUGCGGGAUGACGGCCUUCGGGUUGUAAACCGCUUUCGCCUGUGACGAAGCGUGAGUGACGGUAAUGGGUAAAGAAGCACCGGCUAACUACGUG